rnacentral:rRNA from 1 species
AUGCUUAACACAUGCAAGUCUUUGGCGAAGCUGUGCUUGCACAGACGAGCCAAGGCGGACGGGUGAGUAACGCGUAAGGAACUUGCCCCGCAGACAGGGAUAACAGACGGAAACGACUGAUAAGACCUGGUGUUGUCAGACUGACGCAUGUCAGGCUGAUGAAAGGAGACGCUGCGGGAGAGCCUUGCGUCCUAUUAGCUUGUUGGUGGGGUAACGGCCCACCAAGGCGAUGAUAGGUAGCCGGCCUGAGAGGGUGAACGGCCACAAGGGGACUGAGAUACGGCCCUUACUCCUACGGGAGGCAGCAGUGGGGAAUAUUGGACAAUGGGGGCAACCCUGAUCCAGCAAUUCUGUGUGCACGAAGAAGGUUUUCGGAUUGUAAAGUGCUUUCAGCAGGGAAGAAGCAAGUGACGGUACCUGCAGAAGAAGCGACGGCUAAAUACGUGCCAGCAGCCGCGGUAAUACGUAUGUCGCA